CACAUGCAAGUCGUGCGAGAAAGUAUCUUCGGAUAUGAGUAGAGCGGCGGACGGGUGAGUAACGCGUAGGAAUCUACCUAGUAGAAGGGGAUAGCCCGGGGAAACUCGGAUUAAUACCGUAUACCUCCUUUGGGAGAAAGAGGGCCUCUCUUGAUGCUCUCGCUAUUAGAUGAGCCUGCGUAAGAUUAGCUUGUUGGUAAGGUAAUGGCUUACCAAGGCUACGAUCUUUAGCUGGUCUGAGAGGACGAUCAGCCACAUUGGGACUGAGACACGGCCCAGACUCCUACGGGAGGCAGCAGUGGGGAAUAUUGGACAAUGGGCGCAAGCCUGAUCCAGCCAUACCGCGUGUGUGAAGAAGGCCUUCGGGUUGUAAAGCACUUUAAGCAGGGAGAAAAAGCUAUAAGUUAAUACCUUAUAGCCGUGAUGUUACCUGCAAAAUAAGCACCGGCUAAUUCCGU
rnacentral:rRNA from 1 species